rfam:Ailuropoda melanoleuca scaffold2347_9, whole genome shotgun sequence.
CUAAAGGCCCUUUUAAGGGCCCCCAGAACGUCAGGAAAAGAGCCA